GGGCUUACUUUGGCAGCACAUAUAUUAAAAUUGGAACAAUGCAGAGAUUAGCAUGGCUCCUGUGCAAGGAUGAUGCAUAAAUUAAUGUAUAGUCCCAAUAGUUU
ensembl:snRNA U6 U6 spliceosomal RNA